GGGACUUCCAUACAUACAUCUCACCCUGUGAUUGCUGUGGGUAUGUCAGCCUAAAAAAAUCUUUUACACAACAAAGUGAUAUUGGAGAUAAAAUUGGUAGAGAUUAUUUUUGUUAAAUAAUAAAAAAAUUACACGGUGAACAAUUCAUAUUACAGAAUUAAUACAAAAUACAACUGUACAGCUAUCAGUUACCUUUUUUUAAAGAGUUCACUUAACUUGUUGAUUCAGCAAGAAGAUCAAAUAGAAGCUACUGACCUGUAUCGUCUCUGGUCAUCCUCUUUAAACUGAUUUGAAUUUAUCUGUUAAAGAAAUAUUUGAAAGAUCCAGAUGGAGAUACCAUAUCAUCGAAUCAUUACAUUUCAUUACAAAUGGCUUUUAUAUCCACUAAACUAAAAUUAAUGAAAUAUAAUAGUACAAAUUAAAAUUGAGAGACAGUAAGGUAGAGAUGAAAAUAUAAUGCAAAAAUGAUUCAUCGCAUAAAUAAUUUUGUCUACGUUAAGUACAGAAGGCAGAAAAAGAAGUGUUCCUCUGCCACUUACAUCGCAAAAAUGCUGCAUAAACAUUGCCAUGUGAAUGUGAUCCUGUCGUAGCACCAUCUAAUCACAAUGCAUGAUCCCAUUCUUCACCUUGUUAAUAGCAUAAGCAGGUAAUCAGGAAUUGUCACUAAUCUCACUUUCUUUCAUUGGUUCUUUUCACUGGAUUUUAACCUCUUGCUUCCAUCCUUUUCUUUAGAUGCCUUCCUUUUGCCUCCUUUUUCUGUAGAUGCUUUCCUUCUUUUUUGGGGCAUUGUUCCCAUCUCGUUUUCAUUUUGGAUCUCAUUCGCAUUCUGUGCUUCCACUGCAACUUCUUUGUCAGUAAAAUUGGAAUCAAAAACAACAUUAGUAAGAUGCUGCUUCAGGAAAACCGCUGAAAGAAGUUGUCGUGUCUUUAUAUCCCACAAGCGCAAAUAGCUAUCAAGACCACAAGAUCCUAUCACGGGGAGCUCCAGAUGCCUUGCAAUGGAUCUGAUGCUUCCAGAACACUUCCCCAAAAAGCAUCCUAACAAUUUCCCUGUGCGUAUGUCAAAAGAAGCAAGAUCACCAGACCCAUUUCCUAUAUAGAUUGUAUGGCCAUCUUGAUCUUCAGUGACUGCUUUAAUAGGGGUGUCACAGAAAUCAAAUGAAAUUACAGGUCUGCGCUGAGCAGAAGUAUCAUACAGACGAACCUGAUGGCUGUUGGUUCCAGCUGCAAAUUUACGGUGAUCAUCGUUAGUCAGAAAUGUUGCGGAUGUAAACCAUGUCGGAGUAAAAAUACCAAGACCGUUUUUAGGAGGAGGUUUUGCAGUCCAAAUUUUGGAACACUUCUCAAGAUCCCAUAGAUUGACUUCCACAGCUUUCCCUCCAAAUAAAGCAUAGUUUUCACUUCCAUCCACUUUAGAACAUAAAAUAUUCCCAGAAGCAGAAACUUUCCAGCUUCUAGGGGCAACAGUACUGGCAUUAUCUACUGUUGAACUGGUAACUUCAAUGGACCUCAUGCUUGCAUUUCCUUUUGUUGAACAUGUAAGCAAAGUGCAUGAUCCAGAUACUCUGUGUCUUUUGAAUAAAUGCAAACCAAUAACAGCAUCAUCCUCAGGUUGAGUACCAGCAUCACCAACAUUAGAAAUUGAAACGCCAAUUUCCCCAUUAAGUGGAUUGAGAAGUUCAAUCACACUGCUUUUUCUUGCAACAGCUAAUAACUGCACAAAGCAAAAUUACACACACCGUCAGUACAACAGUAAUUGAAGUAACUGUUGCAUAACAAGCAGCUAAUUUCCACUUAUGCUAUUGAAGUCCAAAAAGAGGAGAAAAAUUAUAGCAAACGACACAAACAGAAGUAACCUUCAUUUCCCCGAAUUCCUUAAUAAAAUCAAAUUGACCAUUUCCCCGAAUUCCUUAAUAAAAUCAAAUUGACCAAAUUGCGAAUACUUAAUUGCGUUUUCUCAAGUUUCAGCCCACAAAAAUAAGCACAAUAACACUAACACAUACAGGAUCUCUUUUACUAUCAUCCAUAGAAACAGCAAGCACGCAUUUAGAGGAGUCUGGAUUACCCCAUCUCUCUACCACCUGAGGGAUUCCUCGAUCGCCACGAGACUCAAUCACUAAAAACUAAUUCAAUGUCAAAAAUGUAUAAAUAAAAAACAUAAGAAUCAAAACAAAUUGAUUACAUACGAAAAGCAACCUUUAAUGAGACCAAGUGCGUCGAAAGUUAAGGCUCGAAGCGGAGGGCAACCAGGGCACUCUACGGUGGUAGUUCGCGGCAUUGUUAAUGACUGUUCCGUUGAAGUUCACUUCCUUUGAGAGACAAACAAGGCAGAAAUUAUGCGGAUGCCGAAACCUUAAACCCUAAUUGUUUAUUUUGUCAAUCAUACCCUAUUCUUUUG
rnacentral:misc_RNA from 1 species